rnacentral:rRNA from 1 species
ACGCACGCUGGCGGCGUGCUUAACCCAUGCAAGUCGCACGGAAAGGCCCUGCUUUUGUGGGGUGCUCGAGUGGCGAACGGGUGAGUAACACGUGAGUAACCUGCCCUUGACUUUGGGAUAACUUCAGGAAACUGGGGCUAAUACCGGAUAGGAGCUCCUGCUGCAUGGUGGGGGUUGGAAAGUUUCGGCGGUUGGGGAUGGACUCGCGGCUUAUCAGCUUGUUGGUGGGGUAGUGGCUUACCAAGGCUUUGACGGGUAGCCGGCCUGAGAGGGUGACCGGCCACAUUGGGACUGAGAUACGGCCCAGACUCCUACGGGAGGCAGCAGUGGGGAAUAUUGCACAAUGGGCGGAAGCCUGAUGCAGCAACGCCGCGUGCGGGAUGACGGCCUUCGGGUUGUAAACCGCUUUCGCCUGUGACGAAGCGUGAGUGACGGUAAUGGGUAAAGAAGCACCGGCUAACUACGU